AUGGCGACCGGCGCACGGGUGAGUAACACGUAUCCAACCUGCCGAUAACUCGGGGAUAGCCUUUCGAAAGAAAGAUUAAUACCCGAUGGUAUAAUCAGACUGCAUGGUCUUGUUAUUAAAGAAUUUCGGUUAUCGAUGGGGAUGCGUUCCAUUAGGCAGUUGGUGAGGUAACGGCUCACCAAACCUUCGAUGGAUAGGGGUUCUGAGAGGAAGGUCCCCCACAUUGGAACUGAGACACGGUCCAA
rnacentral:rRNA from 1 species